ACUUAAGCUAUGUUGGCUUUGAAAAUUUUGGAAAUGAAAUACAUGCUUUGAAUACUAAAGCUAACCAUGGUUUGGUAUUUAUGUUUCAAAGCUUGUCUGUCAAUUUUUGCUGUUUUCACAUCUACUGGCACAGUAAAAGGUAUUGUACUUGUACAAUUGUCAAAGCAAUUUCUUAACUGGAGAAAUCCAAUGGAUGAGAGUCAAACCAUAUAUGUAUUUUCUGAUGUUCCUCACUUAAUUAAGAUUUAAGAAUGUAAGAAACAGGCUCAAUAACAAAACUUCAUUAAAAUUAAGUACAUCCAGAUAGGUCUCAUGUGAGUUGGUUACAUUACCAACAGGUUUAUGAAUUGGAUGAAUCACAAAAUACAGUUGUUCCUACACGUGUGUGUCCUAAAAUUACAGAAAGAUAUUUAAAACUAGACACAUUUUCAAAAAUAACUGUAAAAUUAGCAACUCAAAUAAUUAUCUAACAUUUGUAUAUCUAUGUUAUUUAAUAAUAAAUACCUAAUUACAUCUAUCAAAGUUGUAAUUUCCUAUUCUGUUAAAGAUAUUUAGUAAAUCUAUGGCAAAAGGAAUUCAAUUUUAUAGAGAUCAUAUACAAAAUGAAGAACUUAAGGAUAGUAUUGAAACUGAAAAGUUCACAACUAUACUUAAUUCAGUUUUUGAUGCUCUGAACAGAAAGUAUGCAGCUGAAGGCAUA